AGAGUUUGAUCCUGGCUCAGGAUAAACGCUGGCGGCGUGCUUCAGGCAUGCAAGUCGAACGGUCCGGCUUCGGCCGGACAGUGGCGGACUGGUGAGUAACACGUAAGCAACCUGCCCGGAAGUGGGGAAUAACUUGCCGAAAGGCGAGCUAAUACCGCAUGUGGUGGCGGGCCCUCGGGCCUGUCACAAAAGGCUUUAGUCGCUUCCGGAGGGGCUUGCGGCCGAUUAGCUAGUUGGCGGGGUAAAGGCCCACCAAGGCGACGAUCAGUAGCCGGCCUGAGAGGGCGGUCGGCCACACUGGCACUGAAAUACGGGCCAGACUCCUACGGGAGGCAGCAGUGGGGAAUUUUGGGCAAUGGCCGAAAGGCUGACCCAGCAACGCCGCGUGAAGGAUGAAAUUUUUCGGAAUGUAAACUUCGUAAAUUAGGAAAGAAUAAGUUUGUACUAAUACUGCAAGCGAUGACGGUACCUAAUGUAAGCCCCGGCUAACUCCGUGCCAGCAGCCGCGGUAAUACGUAGGAAGCGAGCGUUAUCCGGAUUUAUUGGGCGUAAAGAGGGUGCAGGCGGCUUGGUAAGUCGGAUGUAAAAUCUCCUGGCUUAACUGGGAGGUACCAUUCGAUACUGCCGGGGCUCGAGUGCAGCAGGGGGAGGUGGAAUUCCCGGUGUAGUGGUGAAAUGCGUAGAUAUCGGGAGGAACACCAGUGGCGAAGGCGGCCUCCCAGGCUGCUACUGACGCUGAGGCCCGAAAGCGUGGGUAGCAAACAGGAUUAGAUACCCUGGUAGUCC
rnacentral:rRNA from 1 species